UGUGUCUGUGUCUGUGUCUGUGUGUCUGUGUGUGUGUCUGUGUGUCUGUGUGUGUCUGUGUCUGUGUGUGUCUGUGUCUGUGUCUGUGUGUGUGUCUCUGUGUAUUUGUUUGGGGGUAGGGAGAGAGUGUAAAAGGUAGACAGGACAGAAGCUAUCUUUCUGAAAGCAUGGGGCAGGGGGGGAGAGAGGAACAACAGCUGAAGAUUAAAAAAAAAAACAACUAACAGUGAAAUGUGCUAAUCAGUGAAAUAAAUAAUGUCCCAGAGGAAGUUCUUAAGUCCUAUUGCAUAGGACUUGAAAAUUAGGCUGGAAAAAGCCCUAAGAAUAAAUACUAUGGGGAAUGACUCCAUUGGCAUUAGAAUGGACUGAAUGACCUAGGGAGGAAUGAGUAUGCUGCUACAUUUCUGACAGGAAGGAGCUUGAAGAGGAACGACCCUGAAAACUCACCAGAGAAGUUAUCAGAAUGUGUUUGGGAGUUGACAUCUGGUAGAUUUAAAAACUGCAGAGGUGUGGAAGGAGAAAAUAAAUGCUCUGGGACAAGAUGAAUGCCUGAGAUCUUGAUAAUAGGGCCAAGAGGCAUUUUAACAAAUCAAGUAUGUGGGCCGCUGGAGCUGCAAGUGAAGAGAGUAUCCGAGUUGUACCACAGCAGGGGCCAUGAAACUUAGCUGAUGUUACAUGCCACAGCUAUGAUACAAGAAAAUUACACACAUCAUCAUCACUGGUUGAUCGUUCUUCUUAAGGAAGAAAGGUAUGUGUUUAGCUAAACUGAGUGGAUCACGUAGGUCUUUGUUUUAAAGCGGUGGCAUGCACUCAAGCUGACAUUGUUAGUAUCAGGCACAGGCAGAGGUGAUAUGUUUAGCUCCUGAGCCUCUGCACAAUCUGGACUUAGAAACCUGUGGGUCUUCUCAUCACAAUGUUUCUGUUUCCUUGCUUAUAAUUUCAUGUAACAGUGAUUACUUACCUUACAUGGUGCCCUGAGGACUGUGUUUGUUAAACAUAUUGAGAUCAAGUGCAAUGUGAUUAAAGACAUCUGCAUGAGAUUUAGACGUGUAUUGUGAAUAACUACUAUUACAGCAGACCUUCCAGUGACUGAAACCACUCAUUUCUUUGGAACUAGAGGAAAGACAGACAGUUCAAAGAGUCACACACAGGUCUCUGCUUUAUCUGCCUUAACUGAAGAUGAUUUGUGCUUUCAGACCCUUUAAAUGGGGACGGCAGCAAACUUUUAGUCUUCUUCCCUGAACAGCCACGGAGAUGUGGAAAAAGACCUGGUGCACAUUUCUUUUAAUUCUGGUUAAAGAAGCCUUCAGUCCUUAGGAGAUGCUCAGGGAUCCUUCUGAAGCCAAAGGUUUUCUUUGGUGUCCUGGAGCCAGAAGUGCUAUUUUUAUGCAACCAUCUCCCCACAGAAAUGCUAUAAGAGAACCUGGAAGAAGUGCUGUGAGGAUCACUGCUUCUGCAAAGUGGGUUCUAGUUGAUAUCCAUCAAGAAUGCUCAACAGAAAAUUUCCAAGCUGUACUUAAAAGACAAGGAUACUUACAAGUUAUACCAUACUCUGGACCAUGGGAUAGUGUUUUGCAGAGUACAUACUCCUCCUUUCCUUUUUCUCCAGAUUUGAAAUUUAGGAAUAAAUCACAGAAUUUUUAUAACAAAAUGUGGCUUUUUCAUUUUUACAGUUCUAUAAUCGUAAGUGCACAAAUGUGAUGCCCUCAGAAUUAAAACACUUGUGUUAAAAUUUUGCCCAAAGCAAAGUUUUAUAGCUUUUAAACAAAGUUGCUGGGUUUUAA